UACAGGGGGGGCAAGCGUUGUUCGGAAUUACUGGGCGUAAAGGGCCAGUAGGCGGCCGACUAAGUCCGACGUGAAAAUCCCCAGCUUAACCUGGGAACUGCGUCGGAUACUGGAUGGCUUGAAUUCGGGAGAGGGAUGCAGAAUUCCAGGUGUAGCGGUGAAAUGCGUAGAUAUCUGGAGGAAUACCGGUGGCGAAGGCGGCAUCCUGGACCGAGAUUGACGCUGAUGAGCGAAAGCUAAGGGGAGCAAACGGGG
rnacentral:rRNA from 1 species